rnacentral:lncRNA from 1 species
GGAGACUUGAGUGAUCUCCAUCGUAUUCAUCACCUGGCUGACACAGUCCACCUCCCUUACUUUCCCAGUCACCUCAAAUAACUGCAAACAGCAAUGGAAAUUCAGUGAAUUUGAUAUAGCUUAGACUAAAGAUAUCAUGUGCAAAAAUGUUUUAGUUUCCAGUAUGAUUUUUCUAUGUAAUUUCAUAAAUAUGAGAAUUUAAAAAUUAAUUAAUUAUGCUAAGUUCAGAGGUGAUUUUGAGGGGGUUUUUACUUCACUGUUUAUUGUUGAGGGAGGAAGUAGAUUUUUAUCAAAAAAGUAGCGAAUCCUGAAUUUUCUUAGUAGGUGUGUUAUUCAUUUGUAUUACAACAGAGCUUUAGAGGUUGCAGAUGUAAUGGGAAGACCACUGGUUCUGAAUAAGAAAAGGGUAGCACAUGCACUGGAUCAUAAGAGAAGGAAGAAACUGUACUGGGACACUUCAUUUUGUUAUUGCCAUUGCAUCCUUAACUGCCAGGCCUCUAAGGCCAGCAAAUGUCUGGAUCAGGAGAAGAUAUUGCAUCAGCAAGGAGGUAAACAGCUUGUGAAAAGACUAUUUCUUGCACUAGGCCUCUCUAAGUUACGAAGUACUGAAUGUCCUUUGAAAAUGGACAGAUCUGCAAAGAUAGAGGCAGAGGGUAAAUUCUUUUCAUGUUUACUGGGACACAAGCUGGGAUACGACAAAUGUAUUAUCCUUCACCUGUUAAAUGGGACAACCAAGUUUACUGACUUCCUCCAACACAGCUCAACAGUGAAGAGAGGACUAGUUUUAUAACAUUCUCACUGGAUGGAAAACAUAUACGUAAGGCAUGAUGGACACAAAAGUAACCUGAUGGCAUCUCAACAAGUUCUCCUUUACCAGGACAAAUUCAAAGUAUGCUUAAAAUUACUGCAUCUCAGAUGUGCCUCACUGCCCACUUGUGUAUUGUUAUUAGGAGAAGUUGUCAGAACAUGAUCUAUAUACCCCAUUAGCUUUAACCAACUUCCAUUCACUAAAUUGCAGGAGAUGGAUAAAGGUCAAUUGGUGGCUGAGAAAAUUGAGUUUAAUCACAGGCCACCUAAAUGAGGAAAGACAUUACCAUCUGGUAUUAUAUAGUAAAUUAAAUGGACUCUUCUCUGGCCUGUAAAGGUCAUUAUACAUUGUAAGGCAAAGGUUGUGCUGUGGAAAUGCUAAUUGAUUUUUAAUAUUGGCUGCUGACUUUCCUGUAGAGGGUGUUGAGUGCCUCUUGGGAGUGCUAGCUGACACUCAUUCCCAAUUCAGCCAUAAUUCCCGCUCCAAACCAGUGAAAUCAGAUAGACUUCCAGCU